GGGAGCUCAUAGCCAAAAGAAACACACAAAGCACUCAAAUCAACAUUAAAAUUCAGCAUUAGUACACCCUCUCUUAUUAUACUCUAGCUUCUCUAGGCCUAUCUGAACUCUUUUCAUCCCUACACUCAUCAUCAUGCAUUCACACAUGCAAAUCAACCAACUCUCAAGUUCAUUAAGCAUAGCAUCAAGUGAAUUCUUGCAAAUGGUCAAUUGGUCCAAAUCAUUUGGUUGAGUAAGGGAAGACUUUUAUUCAAGUGAUUCAAGAGGUUCAAAACAUAUGAUCUUUAAGGUGGUUUACUCUCGAAAUAAGUAGACUUGACAUUGCACAUAAUAUAUCUAAGAAAGGGAUCAACUCAUGCAUACAAUGCUCAAUCUCCAUUGUUCUACCAUUUUCCCAAACAUACAAUUACACAAUCAUUCCCAAAUGACAAACCCAACUCACAUCUCUCACCAAAAGAUC
rnacentral:lncRNA from 1 species